rnacentral:rRNA from 1 species
UACGAAGGGGGCUAGCGUUGCUCGGAAUUACUGGGCGUAAAGCGCACGUAGGCGGUCUUUUAAGUCGGGGGUGAAAUCCUGGAGCUCAACUCCAGAACUGCCUUUGAUACUGAAGAUCUUGAGUUCGGGAGAGGUGAGUGGAACUGCGAGUGUAGAGGUGAAAUUCGUAGAUAUUCGCAAGAACACCAGUGGCGAAGGCGGCUCACUGGCCCGAUACUGACGCUGAUGCACGAAAGCGUGGGGAGCAAACAGG